AUUACCGGUGGCGAAGGCGGCCCCUGGACGAAGACUGACGCUCAGGUGCGAAAGCGUGGGGAGCAAACAGGAUUAGAUACCUGGUAGUCCACGCGUAAACGAUGUCGACUUGGAGGUUGUGCCCUUGAGGCGUGGCUUCCGGAGCUAACGCGUUAAGUCGACCGCCUGGGGAGUACGGCCGCAAGGUUAAAACUCAAAUGAAUUGACGGGGGCCCGCACAAGCGGUGGAGCAUGUGGUUUAAUUCGAUGCAACGCGAAGAACCUUGCCUGGUCUUGACAUCCACAGAACUUUCCAGAGAUGGGUUGGUGCCUUCGGGAACUGUGAGACAGGUGCUGCAUGGCUGUCGUCAGCUCGUGUUGUGAAAUGUUGGGUUAAGUCCCGCAACGAGCGCAACCCUUAUCUUUUGUUGCCAGCGGUCCGGCCGGGAACUCAAAGGAGACUGCCAGUGAUAAACUGGAGGAAGGUGGGGAUGACGUCAAGUCAUCAUGGCCCUUACGACCAGGGCUACACACGUGCUACAAUGGCGCAUACAAAGAGAAGCGACCUCGCGAGAGCAAGCGGACCUCAUAAAGUGCGUCGUAGUCCGGAUUGGAGUCUGCAACUCGACUCAUGAAGUCGGAAUCGCUAGUAGUCGUGGAUCAGAAUGCCACGGUGAAUACGUUCCCGGGCCUUGUACACACCGCCCGUCACACCAUGGGAGUGGGUUGCAAAAGAAGUAGGUAGCUUAACCUUCGGGAGGGCGCUUACCACUUUGUGAUUCAUGACUGGGGUGAAGUCGUAACAAGGUAACCGUAGGGGAACCUGCGGCUGGAUCACCUCCUU
rnacentral:rRNA from 1 species